GACGAACCGAGCGAACGUUAUUCGGAAUCACUGGGCUUAAAGGGUGCGUAGGCGGGCGAGUAAGUCAGGGGUGAAAUCCCACGGCCCAACCGUGGAAGUGCCUCUGAUACUGCGAGUCUAGAGGGAAAUAGGGGCGUGCGGAACUUCCGGUGGAGCGGUGAAAUGCGUAGAUAUCUGGAGGAACACCGGUGGCGAAGGCGGCAUCCUGGACCAAUUCUGACGCUGAGGAGCGAAAGCCAGGGGAGCAAACGGG
rnacentral:rRNA from 1 species